rnacentral:rRNA from 1 species
AUUGAAAGCUGGCGGCAGGCUUAACACAUGCAAGUCGAGCGGGGGAAGGUAGCUUGCUACCGGACCUAGCGGCGGACGGGUGAGUAAUGCUUAGGAAUCUGCCUAUUAGUGGGGGACAACAACACGAAAGGGAUGCAAAUAACGCAUACGUCCUACGUGAGAAAGCAGGGGAUCUUCGGACCUUGCGCUAAUAGAUGAGCCUAAGUCGGAGUAGCUAGUUGGUGGGGUAAAGGCCUACCAAGGCGACGAUCUGUAGCGGGUCUGAGAGGAUGAUCCGCCACACUGGGACUGAGACACGGCCCAGACUCCUACGGGAGGCAGCAGUGGGGAAUAUUGGACAAUGGGGGGAACCCUGAUCCAGCCAUGCCGCGUGUGUGAAGAAGGCCUUAUGGUUGUAAAGCACUUUAAGCGAGGAGGAGGCUACUUUAGUUAAUACCUAGAGAUAGUGGACGUUACUCGCAGAAUAAGCACCGGCUAACUCUGUGCCAGCAGCCGCGGUAA